UGAGUUUGAUCCUGGCUCAGGACGAACGCUGGCGGCGUGCUUAACACAUGCAAGUCGAACGGAAAGGCCCAGCUUGCUGGGUACUCGAGUGGCGAACGGGUGAGUAACACGUGGGUGACCUGCCUUGCACUCUGGGAUAAGCCUGGGAAACUGGGUCUAAUACUGGAUAUGACUUGAGAUCGCAUGGUCUUGGGUGGAAAGCUUUUGCGGUGUGAGAUGGGCCCGCGGCCUAUCAGCUUGUUGGUGAGGUAACGGCUCACCAAGGCGACGACGGGUAGCCGACCUGAGAGGGUGAUCGGCCACACUGGGACUGAGACACGGCCCAGACUCCUACGGGAGGCAGCAGUGGGGAAUAUUGCACAAUGGGCGCAAGCCUGAUGCAGCGACGCCGCGUGAGGGAUGACGGCCUUCGGGUUGUAAACCUCUUUCGCCAGGGACGAAGCGCAAGUGACGGUACCUGGAGAAGAAGCACCGGCC
rnacentral:rRNA from 1 species